UCUCUCUCUCUCUAUGGAAACUUUGAGUUGGCAUGACAUGCAGAUCUAUAGAUAUGUAUAAGAUUGUGUAUUGGUAUCUAGAUGUGUGGUAUAGAGAUCAUGGAAGGAGCAGUUUUUUUGUCACGGUGGUUUUCUGAUUCGCUUGGUACAGGUCGGGAACGGCUUCGCCGGCGAGUUCAGUUUUUUUCUGUUUUUGCACCUCACUAGAAGGUGAAACCGUGUGGUGGAGAAUCGUUAUUCGGUGAAUAUCGGUCCCGCCUUGUAUCAACUGAAUCAGAAACCGCAGUGAAUUUUUUUAGCGGCGGUCGGGGGAAUUUGAUUUGAAUUCGGACGUUUCAGGAAAAGGGUGAACUUUUAAAAAAUUAUUGUUGUAGAUAUGGAUCUGCAGUUUCAGGUUUGUUUGGAACUUGAGUUUUGUUGCAUUCUGCUGUCGAGUUAUUGUCUAAUGGCGUGAUAUAAUGUAGAUCUCUGUUUUUUAUUUGUCAAGCAGUGGAUUACAUUGAUAAUGAAAAAGCUUGCUGCUUUUUUAUUGUAUAUUGAUUGAAUCAGCUUCCGUUAGUGUUUCUGUGUUAAGAUUUAAUUUGGAUGUAGCCUAGCUGUUCAUAAAUGCUCCAUUCGUUUGAAUCAAGGAACUAUCCUUUUACUUUCGAUUGCGCGGUUGCUUUUCAACUUAAACAGAUAGAUUCUAGAUUUUUGAAACAAAAAUAUCUGAACACUACCAGUACUUAAAAUAGAAUGGGAUCAUUGCUUUGUUUGUAAUAGAAAUCGUAUCAUGUUCUUAUUGUAAAGUAAUAGGCUUGACAUUGCAGAUGAAAAUGUGAUUGUGGAUUCAUUUAUGUGAUGCUACUAGAAAUGGAGAUGACAUCACGAAAAUAGAGAACUGGACAAAUUUGUAUUAAAUAAAGGAAAUAAUCUUCUUCUGGAGUGAGUAUCUAUUUACUUAUAUCUCAGGUCAUCUGCUAACGGAAAGUUGGAUUACCAAGGCAUUUGUUCUGUUUAUGCAGUUUCUUUGGUUAUUGUAUAAGAUAUGUGAGAUAUAUGAUAUUACUCUCCAAAAGGCCAUUGAGGAGAGGAUGAGGUUUCAACACAUAUGGGAGAAUAAGUCCAAGUCUAACUGUGUGUUCUAACACGCCCCGUCCAAUGGAAGCUAGACAGGCACAUAUGUUCCGGAGUUUUUGAGUCCUCGGUGCAUAUGUCUCAGAGUGAGUUAUUAUGCCUGAUGGCCCUGACCUAGAACAAAGGUUUAACUUUUUACUUGUGACCAAAAAAAGUCAAAUGGGCUCUUACAUAACCUGCUCCUUGGGUACGUAUGUCGUAAUAUUUCUUUAUCUUAUUUAUUUAUAGUACCUUAUACCUUGGAUACCUACUUCUUAACCUUCUUUUAUUCAUAGUUAACUGUUUUAAAUUGUAUAACUGAUGGCUUGACUACUGCAUGUUUAUCCUAAAGAAUUUCAAAAUGCUAAGCUAUACUGUUAUGUUUUCUUUCCCUGCAGAGGGGUGACAGGGAUUCUUCUCAAGUUAAAUAAAUGCUGAGGUACUGCUUUGGAGUUGUUGACUCAGUCAGUUAAAAUUCUUCUAUCUUUCACUAUUAGAAUAUGUAAAGUAUGUGAGUAGUCUUUUAUUUAUAGCAUAUGUAGAUUUAGGAUUUUUCUCUUGAUUUGACCAUCGUAACUGUUGCCUUAAUAUUCUCUUGUAUUUUGUAUAUAUCGUUGAUUGCGUCUUUUCGGUUUAUUCUUUGCUUCGUUAACGUUGCUUACCUGUUUAGUGUGGAUUGCAUGGCUAUCCCGACAUUAUUGACUUAAUUUGAUGUGGUACUUUGACAUUUAUGGUAUCAUUUUUAAAGCCAACCUUGCUGAUUGUGUGUAUGUCACCAUCAAUGCCACUUGGAUCUUAGAAUUUAAUAAAGUGACUAGUUGUAGUUCAGUUGGCUUGGAGAUGUCUAUGUAAGAAGGAUGCUAAAGUAGUAAGUCAGAUGAUCAUACGUCAACACGUGUACAGAUUACAACUGUUUUUGUUGUUUCUAACGCACAGUGGGCACACAUGUGAGAAUGUUAUUCUGACAGUCUCUUGUUGUAUUGUGUUAAUUCUCUAUGCUCUUGUUUGCUUCAUUAAUAAUGGAUACCUUGUCGAGUUUGGAAUAACUUUGUUUCUGACCCAUAAGCUAUUUAAGGGUUUGACUGACAAUUAUUCUGUGUAGACUAUUUUAGUAGCAUUGAGGAGCGAAGACUUGCAGCAUAAGUCGAUGAUAAUAAAGAAUUAGGGGUCUCCUCAAAUUAACUAGGUAGUUUUCAUAUAGAUACCUGGCUCGUCUUUUGUAAGGUUUCUUAGGGGAAUAACCUCCUAACAUAUUUAAGAAUGCCUCUGCCUAAUAGAAGAAAUGCUUCAAAAUUUAUCAGGUCACGCAUUUAAAAAAAAUCCAGUAAAAGGUUAUUCUCCUAAAUAAACCUAUUUUAUAAUUGGCAAUAGAAUGCUUCAGCCAUGAUUUUGUUUGGGUCCAUCAGUUGAAUGACCUUGUGAAAAUUCUCUUUUAAAUCCAUGACCUUCUGACAGGGUUUAGCAUGCCACUUCCAUAAAUGAGAAUGUCACUUUGAUACACCAAAAUGCCACAAAACUUGUAAGAAGGUUAAUAAAAAUGUCAUUCAAGGUCAAUGGCCUAAAUAGUUUGAUUUUGUUACCAUAGAUUGCUAAAGAUUGCUUUCCCUUAAUAAACCAUAUUCUUUAGGGAUUUGUUAGUGACAUCACAAGUCAUGAUUUUGUUACCAAAGACUAGGCAAUUUAUUUAUUUAGUUAUGCUCACUGUUGUAAACGUGCCGUGGCUCAAGGCUUGUGUCUCAUGCCACGUUAAGCAUGUGGCAUGCCAUGGCGUAAUGCUCAGUUUUUGUAACAUGAUAUUUGAUUUUACUUAUCUUUUUAGUGUCUUAUUUGUUAGUUUUUUUAGUAUAUAACUUAAUUUAAAUUGUUUUAUUAUCAUUGAUUCAUUGAGUAAUAGUAGAAAAUGUAUGUAAUAUUCUAUAUGAUAUAGAGAUUUGCCGCAAUAAGUCACGCCUUAAAAAAAGCCGUGACCUCGCCGUGGCUUCUAAGGCUUGAGGCUUGGCCUCACUGCCACACCACGCCACGGCACGCCUUACGUUACUUAGAACCUUGGUUAUGGUAAUUUUGGAUAAAAGAAAUCAUUCCCCUGCACAUCACUUUCUACAUUUUUUUCAUUUAUUCUCUCCAUCUUCAAGCCCUUUUUUCCUUUCUUCCUUCUCCCUCAAAAACAACAAUAAUUAAGAUGUGGUCUUGCAGUUGUGGUUUAGAUGUAUAUAGCACAUUGCAUCUACUUUAUUAAUCGACACUUGAGGACGAACUAUUUGAGAACUUGUCAAUUCACAAGAGCGCAUCUCGUUUCCUACGGUUAGCCGUGCUUGGAAUUGUCUGUCUGGUUCACCCUUUUUAUGCCGAAGAGUCAAUGACUCAGCGGUAUCCGGGCUAUUGGUAGAUCUCUAACCUUCAAGCCUCAUCAAAAGCGAGGAAUGUGUGAGUUUUAUUCUUGUAUAAAUAUUAUAUUUUAUCUAUAAAUAUUAUAUUAUAUAUACUUCCAGAAAAGGAAACAAACUUUCUCUCUAUGUGGUUCACAUUUUCCAUGCCAAGCUGAGCUGGGAUUUUUACAUCUUGAGUUCACAUUUUUUCUCAUGCCAUGUUGGUCUUUACCAAAAGCGCUUGCACGUUUUUCUAUGUAUUCCGUUCAACAUUUUCUCAUGUCAUGUUGGUCUUUACAAAAGCGCUGGCAUGUUUUUCUAUGUAGUUGGUUCAUAUUAUUCUCAUGCCAUCCAGAUCCGGGCCUACAUAAGUGCUUGCCCGUUUUAGUAUUUAUGCAGUUCAAACUAAGGGUGUCUAGACCGUAGUCUAUGAGCACGGAUGCUCAUCUAUUAGUUGCUGAUCAUUGUUGUCUCAAGCUUGCUUGGUACAGUUCGAGAAUAGCUCCGCCUAUGAUCUUUCUUCUGCAAACCUUCCAUCAAGAGAUGCUCUGGUUUACAUGUGGAUGAUCACUAUUCUCGGCUGUAACAUGCAAGUUUGAGACGGCAGUGAAAAAAUUAAUCUCGAUCAUAACUCAAAAAAGGGUUUGGAACUAUUUGGAAAGAAACUGUUUCGGUAAUAAUAUUCCAUUUAGAUUAGAGUUCAAACUUAUUGUUGUUUUUUCCAUCUCCAUAGAGCAUAUUACUUUUCAUGUCUGUUGAUUACUAUGUUGGUCAUUAUUUCUUCUGACAAUCGGACAGUUUGCUCAUUGCACAACUCUUUGGGUGUAAACGAUAGGUAUGCGUAUAUCCCAACUCCUAGAUCCUACUUUCCAGUUUGGUUUGUUUGCUGAUAACAGUUUCUGCAUGCUUCUUGAUUAUUUCUGUUCUUUUCACUUUUUGUAGGUCAUCGUUGCUUUUGCUGGUAAAGUCUUCGUUUGUAGGUCUCAGCAAUUGUUUGGUCGUCUUUCAUGUAGACGGUUUUAGUGGAUGAAAAUAAAGAAUUAGGGAUCCCCUCAAAUUAACUAGGUCGUUUUCAUAUAGAUACCUCCAUUCCAUUUUUGGUAUAAGUUCAAGCCUGGACCCGCCAUACAACCUAUUAGUUGAACCCUUGGGAUACGGCACUCUGCUUUAUUUAAUAUCAAGGGAUUGAAUAUCCCGACCUGCUAGAGGCUCCCAAGAAAUCUAUUUCAUCCUUCCGAGACAGUUGAGGGCAAUUCCUACAUCUGACUCGUCUUUUAUAAAGGUUAUUUAAGAAUACCUCAAAUUCUGUCUGAAGGUCAUGGAUUUAAGAAAAAGGAGAGUUAUUCUCCUAAAUAACCCUCUGUUAUAAUUGUCAACAAUAUCCAUCGACCAUGUGAAGUUUUUUACUUUCUUGCUAAAGAUUGCCUUUUUCCUUAAUGAGCAUAUUCUUUAGGGAUUUUUUGGUGACAUCACAAUUCAUGAUUUUGUUACCGUAGACUAUGCGAUUUAUUUCUUCGAUUAUGGUAAUUCUGGAUAAAGAGAUCUUUCCAGGUCAUGAAUUUAAUUAAAAUUCCAUUUAAGAUUGUAUACCCAACACUCUUAAAUUGACCCUUGAAGAGGAAUUGUUUGCAAAUCACAGAACUUUCCUACGGUUUGAAAUGGUCUCAGGGUUCACAUUUUCUAUGUCCAAGAAGACAAGCUUUGUCUCUAUGUGGUUACACAUUUUCCAUGCCAUGCUUAGGACUUGUGCAUCUUGAGUUCACAUUUUGUCUCAUGGCAUGCCGAUCUUUACCAAAGUUUCACUUUUUUUGUGCACUGUUCAACAUUUUCUCAUGUCAUGUUGGUCUUUGUCAAAGUGUUUGCACGUUGGUGAAUUCACGUUAUUCUCAUGCCAUCCAAAUCUGGGCCUACAUAGGAUACAUGCCUGUUGUAGUAUGUAUACAGUUCAAAUAUAGGGGAUCUAGAUCCUAGUCUACAAGCAGUGAUGCUCAUUUAUUAGUUUCUAAUCAUGGUGGUCUCAGACUUGCUUGGUACAGCUCGAGAAUCGGCCCACCCAUGGUCUUGUUUGUGCAAACCUUCCAUCGAAAGUUGCUGGUUUACAUGUGGAUGAUUGGUAUUCUCAGCUGUAACAAGCAAGUUUGAGAACGCGAUGAAAAAAUUGAUCUCGACCAUGAAUCGGAAAAGCGUUUGGCGAUCUUAAACUCCAUAUCAGGGAAGAAACUGUUUCUGUAAUUUAGAUUCAGCUUUAAAUAUACUGCUGUGUAAUUUCUCCAUCUCUAUAGAUCAUAUGGCUUUCCAUGUCUGCUGAUAAGAGAUCAAGAGUUUCUGCAUGCUUUUUCGGUGCCACCAUCUGUUUUUUUUUUUUUUUUUUCACUUCUUGCAGGUCAUCGUUGUCUUUUGCUGCUAGUAUGGUUUCAACCAGUCGUGCAGCGAUCGUUGAUGUUUAAAACUAGCGCUGAAACCGUCACAAAUCAUCAGACGUUGAUGCUUGUGUCGUAAAUGCAUCUUCAAUGAGCAGCAGCCAUCUGGAUGAAAGAAAUGGGAAAAAUUUCAGAUGCAUCUGUGUUAGUAAUUAGUACUCAUAAUUAUCGAUCCAGCAGGAGCAACAUACAAAAUACGAGAAAGUCAUCAGUUCCAGCUACGCUACGGUUUCAUUAUCUUUUAUUAGAAUCCCUUUUUUCUCGAUUCAGUCCCACCAUUACCGUGAACCCCGGUUAGAUUCAGACAUGCUCUUCUACCAUAUUUGUACAAGCGUGGUGCAUCUUAACUAAUUCCAUGAAGACUUGAAGAUAACAGACAAAAGAAUUCCGAUGGUCGUUAAGAGACUCGAAUUGGUGAUCUAUGGUUGACAUUCUUCUUUUGAUGGUCAUGGUGUACUGAUACCGUGUAAUAUUCUCAUU